rnacentral:ncRNA from 1 species
GGCUCUGGAGAUGCCCAUGUGUGACAAGGGAGCCGAAGGGGAAAGUAUGACAGACGCGAGGUUACGGCUGCGUUUGUUCUGCGAAUCUCUCAGGCAAAAGGACAGAGACGGAA